UCCUCAAUCGUCUAACGGCUAUGAUACCGCUCUCUCACAGCGGGGGCCUGGGUUCGACUCCCAGUUGGGGAA